UUGCUUGUGGGUCAAGUUAUAGGACUCUCAGCUCCUCCUCCAGCACCAUGUCUGCCUGCAUGCUGCCAUGCUUCCUGCCAUUAUGAUAAUGGACUAAACCUCUGAAACUGCUCACCUACCUAGGCAUGACAGUGGGCUGGAACUUCCUACAUCAAUUAGUGAUCAACAAAAUGCCCCACGGACAUGUCCACAGGACAAUCUGAUGCAGGCAAUCCUCCAGUUGAUCCUCCAGGUGUAUCAAGUUGACAACCAAAAUUAGCCAUCACAGAGAACCAAGAUAAUGUGAUGAGAGGUUAAAAAUGAAGAUUCAAUCAACUGUGGCUGAAAUCUCUGGCUCCACCGUCACUAGCAGGAUUAUAGCCAGACUUCUGCUCUCUCAGGUGAUGCUCCAGCAGUCAACUUUGAUAACGCAGAAUUCCAAGUACCAUGAGACUGCCUUUGAACCUCCUGCAACAUUCAUUUGGCCAGGACUCUUGAAGCAAUCUGUGCAGUUUGGAAAUGCAAGGGUCUUGGAGAAAUGCUACACUUAGAAUUUCAUGGGAAGGAGGCAUUGCUUCAUGGGAGGAAGUAGUGAGGAAUAUGGAAACACCUGAUCUCUCUGCCUUCCAACUUCAAAUGUGUGCCAAACUCAAGACCUCCAAAUCAGGCAUGUCUCAGCGAGUCUUUCAUGGUGCUUCCAGAAGUGUAGGGUGACACCUUCUUGAGUGAUCCAUGAAAGCUCAAGUUUUUGUGUGUACUCUUUGGAUUAAAGACUGCCUGGCUCAGAAGAAGACAUUCUGGAGUUUGAAUCACAGACAUUUGAGGAUGCCCUUGGAUUUUUGAAUGCUGCCAAACCAAAUGUUAUGAAUUUCCGUUCAAGACAUCUAAGAAGCUGACACCAAGUCAAGACAAGAAGAUGAAGGCCAAAAAAAUAAAAUAGGAGAAGAGACUGAAGAAGGUAUACAGAGGAUCCAGGUUCGAUUCCCAGCACAAUCGUGGCAACUCAAAACUGUUUCUAGCUCCAGUUUCAAGAGACCUGACUCCCUCUUCCUACUGACCUCUAUGGACACCAGGCAUGCACAUGGUGCACAAUUCUGCAUGCUGACAAACAUUCAUACAUACAAAAUAACAUAAAUGUAUCUUUUAAAAUAUAACAAAAAGCCAGAAAUUAACUUCUCUUAUCUACCAAUGCCUUCUCCAUCAUAAUGUCAUAAUGCAAUUCAUUGCUCAUGUUUCUGGGGACAUUGAAGUAAACAGGCCUGCUGCACUGUAGCCAUACAAAAACUCUGUGCAGAAUACUUACUGAUGAAAUAAAUAGCUACAUUACUGAA